UACGAAGGGUGCAAACGUUGCUCGGAAUCAUUGGGCGUAAAGCGCACGUAGGCGGCCCUGCAAGUCGGAUGUGAAAUCCCUCGGCUCAACCGAGGACGUGCAUUCGAAACUGCUUGGCUCGAGUAUGGAAGAGGGUCGCGGAAUUCCCGGUGUAGAGGUGAAAUUCGUAGAUAUCGGGAGGAACACCAGUGGCGAAGGCGGCGACCUGGACGGACACUGACGCUGAGACGCGAAAGCGUGGGGAGCAAACAGG
rnacentral:rRNA from 1 species